CCUACGGGAGGCAGCAGUGGGGAAUAUUGGGCAAUGGGCGCAAGCCUGACCCAGCAACGCCGCGUGAAGGAAGAAGGCUUUCGGGUUGUAAACUUCUUUUGUCAGGGACGAAGCAAGUGACGGUACCUGACGAAUAAGCCACGGCUAACUACGUGCCAGCAGCCGCGGUAAUACGUAGGUGGCAAGCGUUAUCCGGAUUUACUGGGUGUAAAGGGCAUGUAGGGGGGAUUGGAAGUCAGAUGUGAAAACCACGGGCUCAACCGGUGGCCUGCAUUUGAAACUGUAGUUCUUGAGUACUGGGGAGGCAGACGGAAUUCCUAGUGUAGCGGUGAAAUGCUUAGAUAUUAGGAGGAACACCAGUGGCGAAGGCGGUCUGCUGGACAGCAACUGACGCUGAGGCGCGAAAGCGUGGGGAGCAAACAGGAUUAGAUACCCUAGUAGUC
rnacentral:rRNA from 1 species